rnacentral:rRNA from 1 species
UACGUAGGGCGCAAGCGUUAUCCGGAAUUAUUGGGCGUAAAGAGCUCGUAGGCGGUUUGUCGCGUCUGCCGUGAAAGUCCGGGGCUCAACUCCGGAUCUGCGGUGGGUACGGGCAGACUAGAGUGAUGUAGGGGAGACUGGAAUUCCUGGUGUAGCGGUGAAAUGCGCAGAUAUCAGGAGGAACACCGAUGGCGAAGGCAGAUCUCUGGGCCGUAACUGACGCUGAGGAGCGAAAGCAUGGGGAGCGAACAGGAUUAGAACUAC